rnacentral:rRNA from 1 species
GAUGGACGCUAGCUACAGGCUUAACACAUGCAAGUCGAGGGGUAACGGGAGGAAAGCUUGCUUUCCUUGUCGACGACCGGCGCACGGGUGAGUAACGCGUAUCCAACCUGCCCCCAACUAGGGAAUAACCUGGCGAAAGUAAGACUAAUACCCUAUAAUUUCCUCAGAUGUCAUCUGACGAGGAAUAAAGAUUUAUCGGUGGUGGAUGGGGAUGCGUCUGAUUAGCUCGUUGGCGGGGUAACGGCCAACCAAGGCAACGAUCAGUAGGGGUUCUGAGAGGAAGGUCCCCCACAUUGGAACUGAGACACGGUCCAAACUCCUACGGGAGGCAGCAGUGAGGAAUAUUGGUCAAUGGGCGGAAGCCUGAACCAGCCAAGUAGCGUGCAGGAUGACGGCCCUAUGGGUUGUAAACUGCUUUUAUACAGGAAUAAAGUUAGCCACGUGUGGUUAUUUGUAGGUACUGUAUGAAUAAGGACCGGCUAAUUCCGCGCCAGCAGCCGCCGUAA